UACGUAGGGCGCAAGCGUUGUCCGGAAUUAUUGGGCGUAAAGAGCUCGUAGGCGGUUUGUCGCGUCUGCUGUGAAAACUGGAGGCUCAACCUCCAGCCUGCAGUGGGUACGGGCAAACUAGAGUGCGGUAGGGGAGAUUGGAAUUCCUGGUGUAGCGGUGGAAUGCGCAGAUAUCAGGAGGAACACCAAUAGCGAAGGCAGCUCGCUGGACGUUACUGACACUGGAGGCGCGAAAGCGUGGGAGCGAACAGG
rnacentral:rRNA from 1 species